AAAAUUAUGCAUUUUAAGUAGGUUUUCUCUUUUUUUCUCAUCUAGAUUUCAGCAAAGUAGCCAUUUAUUUUAUUCUUUCUUGUCUGUUAAUGUAUUCACAUCUUUAAGACUUUAACUCUCCUCUGAGUAGUGCUCAUGCUGAAUCCUGUAGGAAGGAUGCACAGUGUUUCUACGAUCGUUUGUAUACAGUCUUCAAUUUCAAUUUGCUCUCUGAUUCAAGAGUUGUUUGAAAGAUUUGCAAGAGGAAGAGCCUGUCACCAGCUGGUAUGUCUGUUCCUUCUGUUGUAAACAAAGGAUUGAGGAUCGGACUUCAGACUGUGCCCCCUUGCUCUGAGAAGGCUUAAUCACAGCUCCCUCAAUGAAUAACUUCAUUGAAUUUGCAAUAUCUCUGCAAACUGAUCUCUGAAUCUGCAUGGCACAGUUAAGCCAGUUCUAGCAAAUUUGGAACUGUAUCUUAAAAAAACUGUCUCACCUUACCACCCACAGGCUCUCAGCUCCUGAGAGCAGAAACCAAGUGUUGCUUGUCUUUGUGCAUCUAGCACAGAACCUGCCCAAAGCAGGUGCUCAGCAAGUAUUUGCUGAGCGGAACUGUCCUCAACUACCUAAUGGAAAAAGAGAAGAAAGGCAUUUCUUCACUGGACUGGCAAGUAGAAAUGAAUUCAGCCUUACCUGAAAUAGACACACAAACUCCCAGAGGCGGACCAGCGUACCUCUGAGGGUAUGGUUUCUGACCGGUCACUUGGGAGCAUCAUGCCCCUCACCCACAGGCUCAAUUCCAUCUCUGUUUUUGAACAUCGUGGUCCAAGUUCUGUCUCCUCUCAUAAUGUAAGAAACAGAUCCAUGUCUAGUUAUUUUGAGUCAAUGGAAGAUAUUUAAAAUAUUGAUACUUUAAAAGUUUAAAUGAAAUGUUAAUCAAAGGUGGUUUGUGAUGAUUUGCUUUCUAUGACUAUUUUUUAAUUACAGAUGGCAAAUUCUUAGGAAAAGCACAGGGGAUUCUCAUUCACAACACAAAGUUUUCUUUUCUUUUCUUUCUAAGAUCUUAUUUUUCUCCCAAAGCCCCCUGGUACAUAAUUGUGUAUUUUCAGUUGUGAGUCCUUCUAGUUGUGGCAUGUGGGAUGCCGCCUCAGCAUAGCUUGAUGAGCGGUGCUGUGUCUGCACCCAGGAUUCGAACUGACAAAACCCCCGGCCACCGAAGCAGAGCAUGAACUUAACCACUCAGCCAUAGGGCCAGCCCCCAAAGUUUUCUUUUUUAACAAACAAAAUUCUUAAAUCUAUUUUGAGUUUCUAAAAAUUUCUGGUGGUUUUGCAUUUCACUAAGCGGUUUGUUUGAUGGUUUGUUUUCCUCCUAAAUUUUAUUUCCAAAGGCUUGAACUGAUUUUUUAAAUUUCUAGUGACAUUUCUUAACAGUAGUCUUAAUAGAAGACUUAAGAAAGAUAGCUAAACCUAGUCAGAUGGGGCCAGUAUAGUUAGUUAUCCCCCAUGGCAAUCAUAAAUAUUAGGAGAGUUUUCACGGCUGUGUCAUAGCUUCCUAGUGAUGCAGAAUUGGUAAGACUUAUGUGAUAUAUAAACGUGUGACUUGUUACACAUCAUAAUAGCAACUGUAUGGUAAGAACCAUGUAAACAGCUUCUCCUU
ensembl:lncRNA